rnacentral:rRNA from 1 species
AUUGAACGCUGGCGGAAUGCUUUACACAUGCAAGUCGAACGGCAGCAUAGGUGCUUGCACCUGAUGGCGAGUGGCGAACGGGUGAGUAAUACAUCGGAACGUGCCCAGUCGUGGGGGAUAACGUAGCGAAAGUUACGCUAAUACCGCAUACGAUCUACGGAUGAAAGCGGGGGACCGUAAGGCCUCGCGCGAUUGGAGCGGCCGAUGUUAGAUUAGGUAGUUGGUGAGGUAAAGGCUCACCAAGCCGACGAUCUAUAGCUGGUCUGAGAGGAUGAUCAGCCACACUGGGACUGAGACACGGCCCAGACUCCUACGGGAGGCAGCAGUGGGGAAUUUUGGACAAUGGGCGCAAGCCUGAUCCAGCCAUUCCGCGUGCAGGACGAAGGCCUUCGGGUUGUAAACUGCUUUUGUACAGAACGAAAAGCUCUGGGUUAAUACCCUGGGGUCAUGACGGUACUGUAAGAAUAAGCACCGGCUAACUACGUG